rnacentral:lncRNA from 10 species
UCGUGGACCAGCUGCAGCAGCAGGAAGCUCAGGGCAAAGCGGUGGCCGAGAUGGCCCGCCAAGAGUUGCAGGAAACCCAGGAGCGCCUGGAAGCUGCCACCCAGCAGAAUCAGCAGCUACGGGCCCAGUUGAGCCUCAUGGCUCACCCUGGGGAAGGUACGGGAACCUGCUCACAGGAAGAGGAGAGAGCCCCAGGAAGAAGGGGGGACUGUUAGCAGCGUAGAAUUGAGGAGUUGGAAGAGACCUUUAGAACAGCUGGUCAUUAUGCCAACUGGGUGUCCACACUAAGUUCGGCAUCAAUAUGGUGACUUCCUGGGAGCAGGGCACUACCAGCUUACCUAAGGAUGGGUGAACUGGCCCAGGUCAGAAAUGAAGCAGGUCAGAACUCCCAUGCUGAUCGGUAGUGGGACUGCACCUGGGCAGCAUAGCGAGCCCUUGGCUCUUAAAAAA